rnacentral:rRNA from 1 species
GACGAACGCUGGCGGCGUGCUUAACACAUGCAAGUCGAACGGAAAGGCCCUGCUUUUGUGGGGUGCUCGAGUGGCGAACGGGUGAGUAACACGUGAGUAACCUGCCCUUGACUUUGGGAUAACUUUAGGAAACUGGGGCUAAUACCGGAUAGGAGCUCCUGCUGCAUGGGGGUGGUUGGUAAGUUUCGGCGGUUGGGGAUGGACUCGCUGCUUAUCCGCUUGUUGGUGGGGUAGUGGCUUACCAGGGCUUUGACGGGUAGCCGGCCUGAGAGGGUGACCGGCCACAUUGGGACUGAGAUACGGCCCAGUCUCCUACGGGAGGCAGCAGUGGGGAAUAUUGCACAAUGGGCGGAAGCCUGAUGCAGCAACGCCGCGUGCGUGAUGACGGCCUUCGGGUUGUGAACCGCUUUCGCCUGUGACGAAGCGUGAGUGACGGUAAUGAGUAAAGAAGCACCGGCUAACUACGUG